GUAGGGAAUCUUCCACAAUGGGCGCAAGCCUGAUGGAGCAACACCGCGUGAGUGAAGAAGGGUUUCGGCUCGUAAAGCUCUGUUGUUAAAGAAGAACACGUAUGAGAGUAACUGUUCAUACGUUGACGGUAUUUAACCAGAAAGUCACGGCUAACUACGUGCCAGCAGCCGCGGUAAUACGUAGGUGGCAAGCGUUAUCCGGAUUUAUUGGGCGUAAAGAGAGUGCAGGGGGUUUUCUAAGUCUGAUGUGAAAGCCUUCGGCUUAACCGGAGAAGUGCAGCGGAAACUGGAUAACUUGAGUGCAGAAGAGGGUAGUGGAACUCCAUGUGUAGCGGUGGAAUGCGUAGAUAUAUGGAAGAACACCAGUGGCGAAGGCGGCUACCUGGUCUGCAACUGACGCUGAGACUCGAAAGCAUGGGUAGCGAACAGGAUUAGAUACCCGUGUAGUCC
rnacentral:rRNA from 1 species